UUGGGUACCAGGUGUGCAAAGUCAUGGAUAAAUGCCCAAGCUCCCUCAACACACAGAGGACCAAGCGCAUGAACCUCCUGGUCGUGGAGAUGUACUUGGAUAUGUCCUCUUGGAUCCUGAGCCCAAACUGGCAUGUCUCAUUCAGUUGCCACUGAUGCUCUGAUCCUGGAGCUUCUAUCCAUAUUCAGUCCAGGUCCCUUACCAGGUGUUUCUUACAUAAAAGGAGUUUAAGCUAUUCUUGUGAGGAUAAGCUUUAUUUUAAGAUUUAUGAAAGUUAUAUCUGUGCCGAUUUAACUUUGUCUCCUGGAAAUCCCCGGGCCAGGCUGCAUCAUACUAAGUGACAGGUAGUGUCAGCCCCGCAAGAUGCUCGGAUGGGUUUUAUGGCUACCAUUAAUCUUACAGCCACCAGAUGUCUUUUAUCGUAUACUACACCAGCUUACAGAUGUGGAAACUGAGGCUCAGAGGACUGCACAAAUUUGCAGGUCUCACAGGGAGUAAUGGAGCCAGGAGCUCCUACCAUCCUCCUGGCAGGAGGGGAAUCCCAGGUAGCCUCCUCAGCAAUGCCGAAGUUAUUUUCAGCUUAGCAGCUGAACAUUUCAGCAAAGAGCAGCUUGGAAGUGUCUCCUGGACCCCCAGAGGAGACGUAGAAACGGGGUUUCACCGUAUGAGCCAGGAUGGUCUCGAUCUCCUGACCCUGUGAUCCGCCCGCCUCGGCCUUCUGAAGUGCUGGGAUUACCCAGGGGUAUUGUCCCAGAAACAGUAAGCUAUCGUCCCUGGGAAUCCAAGCCCUGCUUGUCUGCAUCCUGAUCCUGAAGCUUAGAAGAGCUUUCUACAGGAAGAGUUUUCUGACUUUCUAGUCUCUUCACACUCACUGUAAUCCAUAAUAGGCCGUAUGUAGCCUUGGACACUAAAUUCACCGAUUCAUUCAACAAACACCAUUGAGCACACACCUUGCAUCAGUCGUUCUGGGAACUGGGGAUAUU
rnacentral:lncRNA from 1 species